GAUAGCGGAACUUCGACUAAGAACGUGACGUCCUGUCACAACGUCGAAAUUAGCGCGUCCUGCGCG
rnacentral:sRNA from 1 species